GCUAAUGACGGUGCGGCGGCGGGGGGAAGAGGGAGGGGGCAAGGGGUGUCGGGAUACACUGGGCGUAAAGCGCCGGCAGGCGGUCGGUUACGUUGGGGGUGAAAACCCGGGGCUCAACCCCGGGACGGCCUGGGAUACGGGAAGACUUGAGGAUCGGAGAGGCAAGGGGAAUUCCACGUGUAGCGGUGAAAUGCGUAGAGAUGUGGAGGAACACCUGUGGCGAAGGCGCCUUGCUGGCCGAUUUCUGACGCUGAGGCGCGAAAGCGUGGGGAGCAAACAGGAUUAGAUACCCGUGUAGUC
rnacentral:rRNA from 1 species